rnacentral:rRNA from 1 species
UACGUAGGGUGCAAGCGUUGUCCGGAAUUAUUGGGCGUAAAGGGCUCGUAGGCGGUCCAUCACGUCGGGAGUGAAAAGCUGGGGCUUAACCCCAGUCCUGCUUCCGAUACGGGUGGACUAGAGGUAGGUAGGGGAGAACGGAAUCCUGGUGUAGCGGUGAAAUGCGCAGAUAUCAGGAGGAACACCGGUGGCGAAGGCGGUUCUCUGGGCCUUACCUGACGCUGAGGAGCGAAAGCGUGGGGAGCAAACAGG